rnacentral:tRNA from 1 species
GCCGCGGUAGUAUAGCCCGGUCAGCCCUGCGCCGAGAGUAUGCGGGCCUCUCGAGCCCGUGACCCGGGUUCAAAUCCCGGCCGCGGCACCA